CAAAUUAAAUCUUUAAAUUAAAGUAUUUUAUUUACAAUAGAAAGAAUAUUGUGUGAUUCAAUAUAAUUUGA
rnacentral:tRNA from 1 species